rnacentral:rRNA from 1 species
GUCCACGCUGUAAACGAUGAGAACUGGGCGUUGGGGAGCUUUGUCUCUCUAGUGCCGAAGCUAACGCGUUAAGUUCUCCGCCUGGGGAGUACGGCCGCAAGGCUAAAACUCAAAGGAAUUGACGGGGGCCCGCACAAGCGGUGGAGCAUGUGGUUUAAUUCGAUGCAACGCGCAAAACCUUACCUACUCUUGACAUCCUCGGAACCUUUCAGAAAUGAGAGGGUGCCUUCGGGAACCGAGAGACAGGUGCUGCAUGGCUGUCGU